rnacentral:rRNA from 1 species
AUGAACGCUGGCGGCGUGCCUAAUACAUGCAGGUCGAGCGAACAGAUGAGGAGCUUGCUCCUCUGACGUUAGCGGCGGACGGGUGAGUAACACGUGGAUAACCUACCUAUAAGACUGGGAUAACUUCGGGAAACCGGAGCUAAUACCGGAUAAUAUAUUGAACCGCAUGGUUCAAUAGUGAAAGACGGUUUUGCUGUCACUUAUAGAUGGAUCCGCGCCGCAUUAGCUAGUUGGUAAGGUAACGGCUUACCAAGGCAACGAUGCGUAGCCGACCUGAGAGGGUGAUCGGCCACACUGGAACUGAGACACGGUCCAGACUCCUACGGGAGGCAGCAGUAGGGAAUCUUCCGCAAUGGGCGAAAGCUUGACGGAGCAACGCCGCGUGAGUGAUGAAGGUCUUCGGAUCGUAAAACUCUGUUAUUAGGGAAGAACAAAUGUGUAAGUAACUAUGCACGUCUUGACGGUACCUAAUCAGAAAGCCACGGCUAACUACGUG